UGCAGAUCACGCGAACCAUCGAAUCUUUGAACGCAAGUUGCGCCCGAGGCCGCCGGGCCGAGGGCACGCCUGCCUGGGCGUCACGC
rnacentral:rRNA from 1 species